UCCUACAUUCACCUACACCUGAAAAAUAUUAUACAAUAAAUGCUUUACUCAUAAACAUAAAUAUAAACACGCCUUUGAUUUGAAUACCCAGCGAACAAGUGUCCUUCAGCUAACUUACCGUUUAAUUUUUUAAUUGUUUAAUUCAUUCUUUUUUAUUUUCAGCCGAGAACGCCUUCAAAAGCGUUGAGAGCGAGACGCAUUGUGCGCCGUCUUGGCACUUUGGUUCGAGCACUCGGAACAUAACGCGCUCACAAAGCGAACACAACACAAUUCUCCAGCUGGCGCAUUCUAAUUAAGUUAAUUGCGUAAAAAGCUAAAAAAUCAGCAGUGGCCAAAGUGAAAGCGCGCAAUUAAGUAACACAGUGCGAGCCUCGCCGCUACAUGCCCGGCCGGGCGCGAUAUGCCACGUGAAUGCCAGCGGAGGGAGGCGAUUGUCGGCGCGCCUGUGCGAUUCCUAAUUCACAUAUGUAUAUUGUGUGUAACACAUACUCGUAAAAGCAACGAAAUCAAACAAAGCUCGUGUCAUGCAAAUAUUCAAUUCCGUGCGCUUAUUUAUAUACAAUUACAACAAAUCAAGUCACCGUGGAACCGGGGUCAUCGUUUAUUUAGUCAUGCCUAAUAAUUAAUGGCCUCGUCCGUAGGCAAAGUUUCGUCUACUCUGAGAAAUUACUGAUUUCAGUAUGAAAUGAUAAUGGGAUAUAUCCAAUGAAUCUGAAAAUUUGGAGACAAUUUUUUAUUAAAUGAAAGUUUUUAAUUAAUGUUAUUCUAAGAAUUUUGUUAUAUUUAAUUUUUAUGUAUGCGAAGUAAUAAAAACAAUUUAGAGUAAAAAUAAAAACUUAA